GAUGAACGCUGGCGGCGUGCCUAAUACAUGCAAGUCGAGCGGACGGACGAGAAGCUUGCUUCUCUGAUGUUAGCGGCGGACGGGUGAGUAACACGUGGAUAACCUACCUAUAAGACUGGGAUAACUUCGGGAAACCGGAGCUAAUACCGGAUAAUAUUUUGAACCGCAUGGUUCAAAAGUGAAAGACGGUCUUGCUGUCACUUAUAGAUGGAUCCGCGCUGCAUUAGCUAGUUGGUAAGGUAACGGCUUACCAAGGCAACGAUGCAUAGCCGACCUGAGAGGGUGAUCGGCCAAACUGGAACUGAGACACGGUCCAGACUCCUACGGGAGGCAGCAGUAGGGAAUCUUCCGCAAUGGGCGAAAGCCUGACGGAGCAACGCCGCGUGAGUGAUGAAGGUCUUCGGAUCGUAAAACUCUGUUAUUAGGGAAGAACAUAUGUGUAAGUAACUGUGCACAUCUUGACGGUACCUAAUCAGAAAGCCACGGCUAACUACGUG
rnacentral:rRNA from 1 species